rnacentral:rRNA from 1 species
UACGAAGGGGGCUAGCGUUGCUCGGAAUCACUGGGCGUAAAGGGUGCGUAGGCGGGUCUUUAAGUCAGGGGUGAAAUCCUGGAGCUCAACUCCAGAACUGCCUUUGAUACUGAAAGUCUUGAGUAUGGGAGAGGUGAGUGGAACUGCGAGUGUAGAGGUGAAAUUCGUAGAUAUUCGCAAGAACACCAGUGGCGAAGGCGGCUCACUGGCCCAUUACUGACGCUGAGGCACGAAAAGCGUGGGGAGCAAACAGG